GAACUCACAUCAAAGAGUUAACUACAUGGGUAGCUGAGUAAAUACCCCUUUCCCUCCAGAUUUUUCUAUGACUUUUGCAAGCUAGUCGACAACUGAGCACAAAGGCUCCCAGAGUCACACUGGAAUGUUGUGACAGAACCCAUCAGAUGACAUGGGACUCAGCCUCUUCUGUUUGUGCCCAAACAGUGAACAGCAAAAGUGAACCGACCCGCAAGGGAGCCAACGCGGCCUGAGAAAGACCUGACACUCUGACUCCACAGUCCCCUGCAUGGAAUGAAGGCCACAGAUAGAAAAUGACAGCAAAGCCUCUAAGAACAGUUCUUUCUUUGCUCUUCUUUGCCCUCUCUGGGGUCCUGGGGACACCAGAAAUCUCAUGCAGAAAUGAAUAUGGUGAAGCUGUGGACUGGUUUAUCUUUUAUAAGUUACCCAAAAGGACUAGCAAGGCAAGUGAAGAGGCGGGGCUGCAGUACCUGUACCUGGACUCCACAAGACAAACCUGGAACAAGAGCCUCUACCUGAUUAACAGCACCAGGAGUGCUCUGGGGAGGACCUUACAGCAUCUGUAUGACACACAUAAUUCCACGAAUGACACAGCCUAUCUAAUAUACAACGAUGGUGUCCCUGGAUCUGUGAAUUACAGCAGACAGUAUGGACAUGCCAAAGGUCUGCUGGUAUGGAACAGAACGCAGGGGUUCUGGCUGAUACACUCUGUUCCCAAGUUUCCCCCAGUUCAUGGCUAUGAGUACCCAACCUCGGGGAGGCGAUAUGGACAAACCGGCAUCUGCAUCACUUUCGGAUACAGCCAGUUUGAGGAAAUAGAUUUUCAGCUCUUGGUCUUACAACCAAACAUCUACAGCUGCUUCAUUCCAAGCACCUUUCACUGGAAACUUAUCUACAUGCCCCGGAUGUGUGCCAACUCCAGUUCCUUAAAGAUCCCUGUCCGGUACCUCGCUGAACUGCACUCAGCCCAGGGUCUAAACUUCGUCCAUUUUGCAAAAUCAAGUUUUUAUACUGAUGACAUCUUUACAGGAUGGAUAGCUCAAAAGUUGAAGACACAUUUGUUAGCACAAACCUGGCAGAAAAAGAAACAAGAGCUUCCUUCAAACUGUUCCCUGCCUUACCAUGUCUACAACAUCAAGUCCAUUGGGGUAACUUCCAAGUCUUACUUCAGUUCUCGCCAAGACCAUUCCAAAUGGUGUGUUUCCAUAAAGGGCUCCGCAAAUCGCUGGACCUGCAUUGGAGACCUAAAUCGAAGCCUACACCAAGCCUUAAGAGGUGGAGGAUUCAUCUGUACAAAGAAUCACUACAUUUACCAGGCAUUUCAUAAAUUAUAUCUCCGUUAUGGGUUCUGUAAGUAAACUCGGUGAAAGGCCACACCCUCUGUCCUUGAAAACACUGGCACUGGAACAUCUCGCCUUGGAUCUGUUCUCCAUAAUUUCAAGGCUUCUGAGUGAGCACAACGUAGCGUCCAAUAAAAGCACUGUGAGCCCACAUUUACCUUCCUAUGUUCAAAUCAAGAGAAAUAGGAGUCAUCUGCAUGUAUGGAAUUAGAAAUCAAAAUCAUGAUAUGUAAGUAAUAGCACCAGGGGACAGAAUACAAUAUUUUCCUCCAGUUUAAUUACCUUCAGUGGUCUGUCUUGUGGAUUAAGUUUCAUCUCUCACAAAGCAACCCUGACUGUCCUGUUUGAAGAAAAUAAAGGUGCCCUCCUCCCCCUCCCCCCUCUUUCAUACUCUUUGGCCAUAUGGGCAUAUUCCCCAUGAAGCCCUCCCCCGCUGGUUUAUAGUUUAGUCUUGUCACCUUUGCAGGUGCUCCUUGCUGCUAAUAUAUGCUCGAACUGCUUACUUGAGUUCUCUUGCAGUUUAUUUUCAAUUUUAAUCUACAACAGGGAGAUCAUAUCUAAGCAUGAUAUGAGUCAAGAAAUCACAAGACUUGUUUGCUUAAUAGACUAUGGGAUGUGGGUUCCGAGUUCAAAAGCUUAAGAGUCAAGCAAAAGUCAUCAGACAGGGAGUGGGCCCUGGGCUUAGUGACUGUGAAGCGUGCAAUCCACACUCACCAACCGCUCUCUUAUUUAAUCUUCAUAUCAGUUCUUUUUAGUGAUAAGUGUCCUGGUCCCCAUUUUACUGCCAAGUCAACGGAGGCUUAGAGAACUCCAAACACUUGCCUAGUAUAAUAGAGGUCUAUUUGGCCUCUGAAGCUGUGCCCUUAACUGAAUUUCCAGAAGACAGUAAAGGAAGUGAAUAAAUAUAGGAUCAUAACUAUCUUGAGAUCUCAACAUAAACCAAAGAUGGUAGGGUCUAAUGGCCCAAUGACAGGCUGUGAAGAGUUGAUUUCGUGUUAAAAUCAAGUACAAGAGGCAGGUAUUUAGGAUGCUGUCUGCCUACUUGGGUACACGAAAAGCUGGAGAGCAAUGUUUUGGUCUCACAGAAAACACCCUAGUAUAAUAAUCCCCGUGAAAUGGGAUUGUUAAUGGGAAGGCGGUGAUGAUUCCAGGUGGAGAGGGUCAAAACUGAUCCAGUGAUACAAGGAAGGACAACCAAGUGUAAGGAAAGCUCAAAUAGAGGGAUUCUAUUGAGCUAAAAUUAUACACUAGGUUUAACUGUCUCCCAACAGAUCACUUCAGUCUAGAGAACAAUACAUCCCUUACUCACAAAAAGAAAGAAAGAAAGAAAGAAAGAAAGAAAGAAAGAAAGAAAGAAAGAAAGAAAGAAAGAAAGAAUAAAGUCAGAUUAUACAGAAACAAGAAUGUAGAAGCAGGAGAAGAAAAGGAAGGUACUGGCCCACUGCAGACACACACCAGAAGGACAUGGUGGCUGCUGCUGCUGCUGCUGCUUCUCCUCCUCCUCCUCCUUCUUUUAUUUAAAACAUCUUAUUGAUUCUUCAUGAAUUUCGCAUCAUGCACCCCAAUCCCACUUGUCUCCCCAUCCUUUCAUACCCACCCUCCACCCUUGCAACCUCCCCCGAAAAAGUAAAGAAAAGAAAAAGACAAACAAAAACCACCUUGCCAUAGAAGCUACACUGUGUCAUGAUGUGUUACACAGUACAGCCUCUUGCCCAAACAGCUAUACUUGCAAAUGUUCAUUGCAAUGAGACUUUGGUCUGGAUUGAGGCCUCUGGCUUCUGCUACACGAUCAAUACUGGAUCUUCACUGGGACUCUUCUCUGACAUCCUGUUGUUGCUCUGUGUCAUGGAGAUCCUGCAGCUUUGGAUCUGCAGGGCCUGCCCCUUCACACACUCCAGCAGUUCAUAGAUGGGGUAGAUGUUAAGAGGGACCAAGUCAAGCCCUGGAUCUGGACUUGGGUGGAAGCUGAGUUGGUCAGCCUGCCAGCUUUCCUGCACCUGGGCCACCAGGACCAGCUCUCCAACUUUGCUCAAAGGGCAGGGGCAUUGCUCCUGCUCUCAUGCCCUUGGGACUCACUCUACUGUGCUCAUGCCACCACAGCCAGCUUGAUUGCGCUGCCCAUGUGAGGUGCAUGGCCUUGUUUCCUGAGUGACAAAGCUCUCUCCUGCUCUCCUGCUCACCCACCCUCAGGGCCAAUGACAUGGCUUCUGAGGAAAGAGUGAUGGAAAUAGCUAACCUCCCAUAAGAAAGGAAAGAAAGGGAGAAAAGUAGCAAGCCGAUUGGUCCAAAGACUGGAAGGAGGGAUUCUGUCUGUGUUCCUUUGUGUUGGUGGAGUUUAAACGCAGCCACAAAGCUAUACAAGGAGCAAGUCAUACUGUUUCUCAAGCGUGUCCUUCAGGAAGAUCUGAGAGGCGCCUUCGAGAAAUCACAUCAUUAGAAGGCAUCUGAGAGACUUCAGAGUGCUAAUAUUUGGGUUAAGAUGUAAAAAAAUGAUCAGGAAUAAUUCAGUCAAGAUUUCUAUAAAGCAACUUCAAGACAACAAGCUGCCUAAAAUUAAAUUACAUUCCCAGGUCAAUAAAUAAAAGCAAGGACUUCUUAAAGUGCAAUGACCUUUGAGGAGGCACAGAAGAUAAAAAAAGAGCAUCCUAAUUUUUAAAGCUGGCUAGAAGUUAUGUCUCAAGUGCAUUUCACAACCUGAAUCUUCAGUGAUCUCAAGAACAGGAUCAUAAGUGGGGAAAACUAUCAUCUAGAGAGCCUACAGCAUGAACCAGCUUGCCUGUGAAUUAGACAGCUCAGAGGUGAUGAGGAUGGAACCCAGAGACUCAUGCGGGCUAGGUUUGACAUCUGUCUCAGAAGACUGGCUGCCACCCAUCUAGUUUCCAUUUUAACCUUCACUUUCACCUCUGUGUCUUCAACCAUGCAGUGAGAUGACAAAUAAACACCAUGACAAAGCUAUGACUUAUGGAAGUGACUGUGAAUGGCCAAGUCCCUCCAGCCCCACAGUCCUACCAUGGCAUUAACACCCGACUGACUAAAGGACAAGGCUGCAAUUAUUUGCAGAGCAAACAGGCAUGACACCAUGACAGCAUGGGAGCCUUCAGUUCCAGGUUUGCCAGUGCCUACCUACAUGGGCUUUACUUGACUCCUCAAGGACUUGACUUCUUGUUCACAAAAUGAAGACAAUUAAGGAAAAACAAUACACGUAACGUCUGGAAACAGGUACUCAGAGCGUAUGAAAUCCUUCUCUUCAGUGGGAAACGUUUGCUGGAUCAGAGUGUGUGUUCUGACUGGGGUUGCUAAGCUACACCAUCUCAGGCACACACAGGGUUUGAGUACAAAGACGGACUUUGUAUCUUAGAUGUUAGGUAGGCAGGUGAUAUUCAACAAAUAUCUGACAGUUUGUUUUGGCUCGGCUAGAAGGACUUUGUGUACCCACUACCAAGCCUCGGAUCAUCUUAACCUUUGCAGGUAGGGAAGCUCCUGAUGUGCUGAGUCUCCAGCAUCCUGAGCUAACUUGAAGACCCUAUCUCAUUCGGCAACGUUCUCUUCCUAUCCUGUGCUACAGAACUCUCCGCAGAAGGCAAACGCUUCGAUGCAUUUGGGUUUCUGCUGAAGCUUUCAUUCUGCCCAACUGUUGGCUGUAGGAUGAGAAGGUGUUUGAGACAGACUCGAAGGAAGAGGAGUGACUCAAUACUUAUCUUAAAUUGGCACCAAUACCCUAAUGGUGUGUUUAUAUACAAUCUAAAAGUUGAUCUAUGUCUCCAUUUUCAGUUUGCAAGAUGGUUAGGAUAAUCUUUAGAGGCCACUGACUCAUGAAGAAGGUGGGAGCUUUGACCUUCGGAGACAAGGCUGGUCUAAGGGUCAAGGCUGGUCAGCCACAUGGCUGGAGUAUGUGUUUGGGACGGACAGGGUUGAGAGUCAGAGCAAAUCAAGAAAAUAAAAAGCCCAUCUGUA